GCCAGCGUAGCUCAGUUGGUAGAGCACUUGAUUUGUAAUCAGGCGGUCACCGGUUCAAGUCCGGUCGCUGGCU
rnacentral:tRNA from 1 species